AGUGAACGCUGGCGGUAGGCCUAACACAUGCAAGUCGAACGGCAGCACAGUAAGAGCUUGCUCUUACGGGUGGCGAGUGGCGGACGGGUGAGGAAUACAUCGGAAUCUACUUUUUCGUGGGGGAUAACGUAGGGAAACUUACGCUAAUACCGCAUACGACCUACGGGUGAAAGCAGGGGAUCUUCGGACCUUGCGCGAUUGAAUGAGCCGAUGUCGGAUUAGCUAGUUGGCGGGGUAAAGGCCCACCAAGGCGACGAUCCGUAGCUGGUCUGAGAGGAUGAGCAGCCACCCUGGAACUGAGACACGGUCCAGGCCCCUACGGGAGGCAGCAGUGGGGAAUAUGGGAAAAUGGGCGCAAGCUUGAUCCAGCCAUACCGCGUGGGUGAAGAAGGCCUUCGGGUUGUAAAGCCCUUUUGUUGGGAAAGAAAAGCAGCAGGUUAAUACCCCGCUGUUCUGACGGUACCCAAAGAAUAAGCACCGGCUAACUUCGUG
rnacentral:rRNA from 1 species